rnacentral:lncRNA from 1 species
UAGUGAGAAUGAGGGAUCUUUGCAGGGUGAAGCUGCAGAUGUUGGUUCAGUUCUGGAAAGAAGUUGUUUGAAUGGCAGUGGAUUUGCAAACGGCGUGCCUGAAGAACUAGAGGUCUGACAUCUUAAUUUCUGACAUGAUUUGCAGUCAUAUCUCCUUUUUCCUGAUUGCCUAUUCUUUUAAUUGUUUGAUGGAGUCAGAAGUUGAAUGAUGAAGUGUCUGUUUGGUCUAUUGAUGAGGUUUCCCCCUAGAUUUUGAUUCCAGCUGAACCUUGUAUUUUCUGUCUUGCUUGUUCUACAUAAUUUUCCUAACU